CGCACCCAGGAGAAUUGGUUGUCAUGGCAGUGGCCCGGCCGUGGAGGCCAGAGGUGGUGGGCCCAGCCCGGCCAUGGAGGCAAGGCCCUGGAGGGAAGAAAGAAAAUGAGGGGUUGGAGCAGAAUGACAGGAGGACCAGGUCCUGCGACCUAUGGAAGGCUGAAGCCAUCUUGGGCAGGACAUUAGAAUCCAGGAUCAAGGUGACAGAAUCUGGAGAGAGAACACAAAACCUUGGAUUGUUGGACAGGGACUGGAAACCCGUCUAGCUGAGGGCCUUUCUCCCUCUGGAUAUAGGAAGAAAUGGAACUUCGGUCUUACUGGAAAUCAUUUUUGAAGAACUGUAUCAUUUUUCAGAGGUCAUGUCACUUAACAGCAGUUAAAUUCAGUUAAGUUAGGCCAAAGCAAAAUAAAUAAAUAAAUGAGACUUCUUGGAAUGCAGAGUAGUUGCUGUUCAGGAUGUCUGUGAUGAACUGACUGAAAGGCAUGUGAAAGUAAAAAUAUCUUUUCUGCAUAAUUGAAGUUCUGUGUUCUUGGAACUCUACUGUACUGGCAUCUUUCCAGACAUUUUCUUUAAUAAAUUUUGCAAGACAGAACUGUCAUCAUAUAAGCCAUUUAAC